AGGUGGAUUUCUGCUCUCCCCCUGCUAGAGAGCAAUCCAACACUGAUGGUCUCAACAGAUAGACUAAGUCUGGCGGCUGAUGGGAACUGUGUAUGCCAAUAAGUAAGAGCAUGAGACCUGAAAGAAGCACAUUUCACUCAUGCUCUGCCACUUUUUCUGAUGAACACCGAAGACAUGCCUGUGGUGGCACAAUCUGAAGGGUGAAGAAGACAGGCACUAGCAGAUUGGAUGAGACCAAGAGUGGAUCCAACGGUCAAGAAGGCAAUUUCUGCACAUGCUGUGAGUGAUAUAAUUCCAACACAAAAAGCUAUGGUUGGACCAUAAAGAAGGCUGAUCGCCGAAGAAUUGAUGCUUUUGAAUUAUGGUGCUGGAGGAGACUCUUGAGAGUCCCAUGGACUGC